rnacentral:lncRNA from 1 species
AUUCAUCCUGCACCCGACCGCCAGUCGUUUUUUCUCUCUCAACCGCAAAGCCAAACACCAAGCUCUACACAGCCACCGACAACGUCUGCGGAAAGGACCUUUUCUCGCCAGCUAUGGCCCCUCUCAACUGCAAUACGUCAAUAAUCGGUGUGUAUGCUUUUUCUUUUUCUUUUAAUUCAAGAGUGACCAAGACUAUCUGCAAUUGAAUUGCUUGAGCUUUAAAUUAAUUUUAUGCCACAGCUUUUGUGUAUAAAAAAUUAUAUUUUCACAUUGAAAAUAUUUAAUUUUUUGUCUUUCCUCCACUCAAUCACAUUGUUCUAUUAUAUAUCCUUCGGUAUGCUCUUGAUUUUUGUUUUUAGGGUUUCCGAGAAAGAUUAUAUGAAAUUUGCUUGGGCUUUGUGUGGUUUGGAAAAAAGAAAGUGUUGUUUUUAUUUUAUUUUUGUUGUUGUAAUUAGAGGAUACAUCUUAUGCCAGAAGAUUUAAUCAAUUUUUAAAGAUGAUUUUUCCGGCCAAGUUAUUUUGGUAUGUGCACGAUGGAUAGGGUUCAGGUAUUUAUUUGUUGAUGGGAUCAUGUAUAUUAUUCCUUCUAACUUCUUCGACAUCAUAACCCAUUCUCUUACCCUUUUUUUUUUUUGUUUUGUUUUUUUUGUUUUGUUUUGGCAUUUAACAAUGUAAUUGCAUGUAAACAGAUAGGAAGGCCGAAGAAUCAAAGACGGAACCAGAGACUACAAAACUAACGAAAGAAGAACUUCUCAAAGAACUUCAUAGCAAUUAUUAUUUUUAUUUGUUCCAGGGCCCUUACAUUCCCAAGGGUAUGUUUUGUGUGUGAGUGUGUGUGUGUGUGUGUGUGUGUGUGUGUGUGUGUGUGUGAAUAAAAGCGAUAGUCUAGCCUCCGCCUUCCUAAUUCUAUUGGGAUGCUCUCUAAUUUAGAGACAAGAAAGAAAAAUAUAUAUGCAUGGUUCUCUAUUUUAUGACAUAAUAUCUAUGCAGUUGUUGUUGUUCUAUGUCAUGUUUAAAACAACUUGUAAGUUAAAAAGAUGUUUUCCCUAGCUAAGUUAUUUUGGCGUUUGCAUCAAGCAUAACCAAUAUUUAAUAAUAUAGUUAUUUGUUGAUGGGAUCAUAGAUGUUAUUCCAAUAACUUCUUUGCAUUAUCACCUUUUUCUUUUUCUUUUGUAUUUUCACAAUGUAAUUGCAUGGAAACAGAGAGCAAGCCUAAAGAAUCACAGCCUAAAGAAGAAUCAGAGCAUGAAGAAUCAGAGAAUGAAGAAUCAGAGAAUUAUGAAUCAGAGACUGAUGAAUCAGAGGAUGAAGAAAUUGGUAUGCUUUUGGUUUUGAUUUUGAUUUUGAUUUUGAUUUUGAUUUUUUUUUUUUGAACAGAAGCAAUAGUCUAACUAUAUUAUUGGUAAGCUAUAGCCUCUUCUGUCCUAAUCUUAUUGGUAAGCUUGGAUUUUAGGGACAAAAAAGAUGUGCAUGCACCUUUUAUAUUUACAUUUUUUUUUUCUCUCUUAUGACAUAAUAUCUAUGUAUUUGUUGUUAUUUUAUGUAAUAUGCUUGUAAUACUGAUUUUUGGGUUUUAUCAUCUUCAUUCAUUUAUUGUCUUAAAAAAAGAUUAUUUUUAUUGUUUACAUUGUAUUUAACAAUGGAUCUACAAAUUGCACACAGGUGAAUGUAAGUAUUGUUUAAAGGUGGGUGACCACCAUACAGAACUAUGCUCUUACAUUGAUGAGGUCCCAGAGAACGCAAUUGUUGGUGAGAGUUGUGUGGUUACAUGUCUUGUAUGUGGCUGCUUCUUUAGAGACUCACGUUGUGCUAAUUGUGGCAUAACCCUAGGACGUGCACUCUUCAAGGAUUGUUUAAUAUGUGGGAAGCGAGGUGAACACAUGGAAUUUGAGUGCCCGGAACUCGAGCCGAAUCCUGAUUUUUCUUUCGACCCUUAUGUUCCUUCUAUUAUAGUCUAUAAUCGCCCUUAAUUGUAAACUAGAGUUGAAGCAAGGGAGAAAGAAGUGUUUUUUUUAUAUGUCGUUUGCCAUAAAUACCAUGCAUCCUAAUCUUUUGAUGUCUACAUCGUGUAUUGUUUUUGUCACAAAUGAAUUGCAAUUUGCAUAACAUGGUCUAUUAUAUUCUUAUGCUUGAACUAGUUUUUAUCUUAUGAUUUUGUUUUUCUCUUAUGGGUUCAGUAUACUUUAUGUUAUUCUAAA